rnacentral:rRNA from 1 species
AACGCGAAGAACCUUACCUGGGCUCGAAAUGUAGAGGACAGCGUCAGAAACGGCGCAUCUCGAAAGGGUCUUUACAUAGGUGCUGCAUGGCUGUCGUCAGCUCGUGCCGUGAGGUGUUUGGUUAAGUCCAGCAACGAGCGCAACCCUUAUCGUUAGUUGCCAGCGCGUGAAGGCGGGAACUCUAACGAGACUGCCUGGGUUAACCAGGAGGAAGGUGAGGAUGAUGUCAAGUCCGCAUGGCCUUUAUGUCCAGGGCUACACACGUGCUACAAUGGUUGGUACAGAAGGCAGCGAAACCGCAAGGUGGAGCAAAUCCUACAAAACCGAUCUCAGUUCAGAUUGUAGACUGCAACUCGUCUACAUGAAGUUGGAAUUGCUAGUAAUGGCGUGUCAGCAACAACGCCGUGAAUACGUUCCCGGGCCUUGUACACACCGGAGUA